GUACUGUGCGAACGUUAUUCGGAAUCACUGGGCUUAAAGGGUGCGUAGGCGGUUGAUUAAGUAGGGUGUGAAAGCUCUCGGCCUAACCGAGGAAUUGCGCUCUAAACUGAUCAACUUGAGUGAGAUAGGGGUGUGUGGAACUUCCAGUGGAGCGGUGAAAUGUGUUGAUAUUGGAAGGAACGCCGGUGGCGAAAGCGGCACACUGGGUCUCAACUGACGCUGAGGCACGAAAGCCAGGGUAGCGAACGGGGGAUUAGAUACCCCGGUAGUCCUGGCUGUAAACGAUGAGUACUAGACGGGAGGGGCUUCGGGCCCCAUCCGGUCGCAGCGAAAGCAAUAAGUACUCCGCCUGGGGAGUAUGGUCGCAAGGCUG
rnacentral:rRNA from 1 species